UAUUUGCGGAUACAUUUAAACAGUUAAGUUAGUGCAGUUCUCUUACGUUCAGGGUGGUGGUUUCAGAUUAUGGUGUGAGUCAAGCAAUGUGGGCAAAGAAACAUGAUGCAAUGCAGGUGUUUGUGAUAUUCAACCUUUAUCACUAACUCCUUAAUUGUACAUUUGUCACAAUAUCUUCAUUUUAGACUGUUAAUAAAUUAGACUUUGGGGGUUAUUUUCGCUGUUUAAAUGUAAUUAAAUUGUGAAUGUCAGUUAUUUCUGCUUGUUACACGCGGUGUGGUAAAUGGCUGCGUCAUUCACUUCGUGAGAGAAAAUGAUUUGCUCGUUUUUUCGCCUAAUGUAACUUGUCUUAAAAUGUAGCAUUUUAAAUGUGUGCUGCUUCUUUCAGAGUUCACACACGAGUAUGUCUGCACUUUGAAGGGAGUAGGGCAUAGGGACGGUGACUAACGAUUGGAAUUCGCCCUAAUAGUGACGGAUAGCUGGAAUUAGAUUUGAUUGGUUGAACCGCGUUCAAAGCUGUUCACACGCGUCUGAUCUACGUAUGACGACGCAUGACCACGCGCGAUUUGAAUGCACAACUUUACAGAAGGUAGAAAAUUAAGAAAUCGCACGUAAGCGCGUUAAGGUCUUUAAAGGUGCAUUUAUGGGAAUACAUUAAAAGAACACUCAUCAUCAAUGUACUAAAACCUGUCCUGAAUAGUUUUUGUUAACCAAGUCACUCACCUAAGCCACAGUUUUUUUAUUGCAUAUAUUUUUGUUAAAUUACUUUAUAAUAAGAUGCAAUAACUUUAUGAAAAACAUUUUCAUAUUUAAUGUUAUAGUACAUUUUGUUUGAUAAUACAAAGUUUUUUAUUCAAUCACUAUUUCAGGUUUGGAACAUGCUGCUGAAGUUGGUUAUCAGGGCUCCAGGAUAUGUAUCAAACUGCAGGAUUUAUUUAUUUUUGCUCAUUAGUGAAGGUGGUAAGCUAAACUGACUGUGGACUAAUGUAUGCAUUGUUGAUGACACUGAAAUCGAGGAAGACAUUCUACAAGAUGUGCUGCUUACAGUUAGAGGACAAAAUGAAGGUACAGUGUGAUGAUUAUCUUUGUUUUAUAAAACUAAUUUAGGUUUAUUUUUCAGUUUUUGUGUGUUUGUCAUGAAUUUUUGUCACCAGAUGCAACAAGCAGCUUCUGCCACUGUCAUUUACCAUCUGAACUUGACCAAAGUCGUUCCAAUAAAUCUAAGACAACAGAUGACUCCAUGACCGAGACUCCUACAAGGAACCAGUGAGAGCAUCAUAGACUGUGAUAGUGACAUUGCAACACUGCUUUUUACUGCUCCAUCUCCUUCCACCAUCACCUCAAGGGAAUCAGUGCAUCAGAUUUGCAGUGAGCAGGCUUGUGGUGUAUCAUAAGUCUUGUACCAGCCUUGAAGAACAUCUUCAGCAACGAGUAGGAUGACAACCGUACCUUACUGCGGUUAGCAGGAUCUGCGGCCAGAUUUGAGAACUUUGACGUGGCUUUUGAUAAGAAUCUCACCCCAUCAGUCAGAAGGCUCCCUUUAUUAGCAUUUGACUUUGUUUUUAAUGUAAUGUAUGAUGAUGGACUCCUUUACUUUAACUAAUUUAAUCAAACAACAGUUUACAUGUUGGGAAAACUAGAGAUUGAGAGCUGAGAGCAAACUUUUUUUAACUAGCUGUAACUAGUAUCUCAUUUACGGUUUCAGCAUGCAUUUUGUCCUUGCCCAAAUUUCUAAUUAAUAUGUGCUGAAGAAAAUUGUGAUUACUUUUGUGAUGUAUUGUUUUACAGAAUGUUUAGUGAAAGAUUUGCUGUGAUUUGCCCUAGAUGUGUGUCAGACAUGGAUUUUAAAACACUUUUCCAGUUUUGUUUAAACUCCUUGGCAAAAUUGAAAGGACUGUAUACAUAACCACUCUCUGAAAAUUUUGAAAAAGUUCACAAGUGAAACUUUAUUUUUUUAUAAAUAUUUAAUAAUGUCAAAUAAAUUUGUUAAAUAAAUUUGUGGUCAAUAA